CGGAUCCAUGUAGGGCUAAGUGUAGGGCAAGGGGGUAAGGGCGGGGAGGCGAGCAGGCGGGUAGAAGCUGGCUGGAAAGAAGAAAAAUUCCCAAGAUAAAAUGUCAUGAUGAGUAACAAGGAUACCUUCAAGUAUAAUUUAAAAACACCUCCCAGGCUGCAUUCAGCUGUGCUAACGUCAAUCCUGAGUUAGCCUGUUUAAAUACAUUUCCAUGUGUAUUGCAGUGGGUGGUGGUGGGGUCCUUUCCAUUUCUUCCUUCUUUCUUUCUUUCUUUCUUUCUUUCUUUCUUUCUUUCUUUCUUUCUUCCUUUCUCUCUUUCUUUUUUUCUUUCUUUCCUUCUUUUAUUUUGAGUCAGGAUUUGCUUAUGUACCCCAAGCUAGCUGCAAUCCAGCAAACCCCCUGCCUCUCAACUACUGGAAUUACUGGCAUAUAUCACCAUACCCAGUUUAAAUUAUGAUCUUAACAUAGAAUUACUUAAAAAUUCAGUGUCCGGGUUCAGUUCUGAUCCGGAUCAGUGCCACUGUGAGACUAGCAUUCAGUCUGGAUACAUUUGAGGCCCUGCAGUAGAAUGUGUCAGGGAAAGGAAGGAGCAUUUGUGAAGUUCUAGAAGAGGAAGUGAGGUGUAGUCCAGCUGCGGCACAGUUCUGCUACUGAGGGGCUGUGAGCUGCUAGCCUCAGACAAGCUCCAGAGCACAGUUUGAAGCCAAAGGGCUGUAAGUGAGAGAUGGACUUAUCAGUUAUGAAAAUGACAUCUUGAUGGCUAAUGGAAAGCAAGCAGAGAAAAACAGCAGGCAAGAGGCUGACAGAAGAAAAUACUGAAAUAACGCUGAGACUGGACAAGGAGCGCAGAUGCAACACAUGCCAGGGGUGAAAACUGGCAAACGCCAUCCCAGGACCAAAGGGAUGGACGGCAGAGAGUGCAAACGAAUACUGUGAACAUAUGUAGCUUUCAAAACCAGCGUGCUAGCAGGAACCCAACACUGAGGACACACAUGCCUGCAUCAUCCCGGGUCAGCGAGAGGAUGGUGUGAUCUCGCAGCCCUAGACUCUUACCUAAGUAUUCAAGGAGCUUCCUAUGCGACUUUAGGCAAGCAAACAACAAAAGGUAUGAAAUUAUAAUAGAUGUGUAAAAUGCCCAGGACCUCGGUGUAUGUUACAAAGUCAAAGUCAGAAUUCCAAUUCUUCAAAGCUAAAACAUGGCACUUGAAAUAAAAAAGUUUGUGGUGGUUAAUAAAUUCCCCUUCUCGGGGCCUAACAGUUGCCGGCUUCUGGAGAGGCGUAGUCUUAGCUGCUCUUGUUCCAUUAUUUUGUACUGGGCUGGAGUUUUGACUUCUGAAGUGCUGUUCCCUGGCAGAUGUCUGUCCUCGUCCUUGCUGGUUGGAUGUUCUGGUCUUUGGAUGGUAUUGCCUGCUUUGGGUCCUGGAAAAGGUGGCUGCUGUGGAAUCCCAGAAUUCCAGCCAUGUGUAGUGGUGGUGAGGCCCUAGGUAGACAGCUCCUCUGUAGGUUGGUAUGAGUCACAAGGGACUGGAGGUGGGCUGGAAGGAAAGGCUAAAAUGGACCAUGAGGAAGAACCGGGGGGAUGACCAUGAGGAAGAACCGGGGGGAUGUUUUGUCCACACCUAGAGACCCAGUCAGUGAGUGAUGGAGGAUUCAACUUGCUUAGUCAACCUCCAAGUCAUACAAAACCAGCCGUCAUCACAUAGGGUAGUUGGCGUCUGGUGGGCUAAUAAGCAAUUACCACACAGCAUCAUCUCUACAGCCCUGACCUCCUGCAUCCUGCUGAGCCUCACGAAAUUGUGAAGGGUUUUACUGUGUGUCUUAUUAAAUCCUAUGCGCACAGAAAGUAUCAACUUUGUAAAUUUUUGUAAAUAUUUGUUUAUUGUAUGUGUAUGUAUGUGCCACUGCACGUGUGUAGUCAGAAGACAUGUGGGAGUCCCUCCUCACUCCUUGCACUUUGAGAGUCCAGGGACUGAACUCACGUUGGCAGUCUUAGUGGUGAGCGUUUUUACUCACUAAGCCAAACUGCUGGCCUGGUUCAUCUACUUUGUUUCUUGCAUUUGAAGAAAACUUACAAAUAUUUUUGAACUCCUUAGACGUGAUUAAGUAACUAAAACUGAAAAUAAAAGUUAUUUCACCAGAACCAGAUCUCUGAAUAUUUAAGAAAAUAUCUGACAGGGCUGUUUCAUGCGCACAGUAGCUUUUGAAGAGUAAGGUUCAGACUGUAGAUCUCCUCCUACUCACUGCAGCUUUCAAGGACUCUGGGCACCUAACUUUUGAGUUCUGUGUUAUGCACCUAGAGUGAACUGAAAGACCACGGCCCACCAUGAUUUCAUGAACAGUGCUGUGGCCCUGCCUGGCCAGAGAUGGAUGGGACACAUCUUUCCUGGAGUAAAGACACGUUCACCUGUUUUACAAAGAGUUCUCGGGAAGCUCAGGAACCAUUGUUAGACAUUAAAAUAACCAGGCAUGCGUCAAUGUGUCAAAUACUUCUAAAACAUGACACCAUGAGGCAUUUUAGUAAAACAGGCAAUGAAGUUCAGCGUCACAAUGACCAAGACAGCUGCUCUAGAGGGCAGGAAUGGGUCUCCCCUGCAGUGGGUCAAUCCUGCACCUGCAGUGAUCGUGCCUGUGUGCUCAGCUCUCUACAAUGACUUUCUAAACAUGCUAAACUCAAAAUACACUUUGUAGUCCUUAUUUUAUUUGAUGGGUUGGUGGUACACAAAAACACACCCCAAGGGAGAGGAACAAGAGACAACAAAUUACAGCGAUUCAUGUAUGCAGAUGCCAUGAUGAAAUCCAUCAGUUCAUAUACUUACCUGAAAAAUUAAAACGUCAAAACCAAACCCUGAAGCCAAACUGUCUGGCUCAAAUCUUGAUUCCGAUAUCCUUUUGCUCUGUGACUUUGGACCAUGUUUGAGACUCUUUUGUACCUCAGAGCAAAUCUCUUUGUUUGUAGAGUGCUGGCAGCAUACUUGAGUAAGUUCCUCUUAUCUGGAACCUCUGAUCACCUUUCUUGAAACUGGUCUGUUUACUGCCCCCUCCCCUAUGGCUCAAUUCCACUUCCACACUUCUAAUAUGUCUUUUUGUGUAGGGCAACCCCUCAGCAGGUGAAGCAAUGCCAGUCUAGUUCUCCUGUCUGCUUACCCUGAGCUCAGACGAACCAAGCGUGCCAGCUCUUUCUACAUGUCCUUCGCAUGCCACAUCCUUGUCUGGAAUGCUAAUCCACUUCUCUGGAAACAAGCCUUCACUGCAGCCACACACUGCUAUACUUUCCACUUGUUUCCCUGCUCAGUUUCCUAUACCAGCUACUUAGAACACAUACCAGAGGCCCAUCGUGUCUUCCCUUUGUCCACUGCCCCGGCCUUUACCACAUUCUUGUUCCUCUGUUCACCAAUUUCCCCUCCCCGAGUUCAGUGCCCCCUGAGAUGAGGUAGAAUGCGGUGAGAAGAGUCUAUGUGGACAAAAGUUAACUCGACGACAAAACUUCACACUGAAGGAAACGUUCUACAAGCAUUUAUUUCAUCGCUGACCACUAAGUUGCAGCAUGCAACUCCCGACAGUGAGCUGCCACCGCCCUUCUCAGAGAGGCACCAAGCGCUACGGUGCAACGACUCAGGUUUGCACUACGGUGCAACGACUCAGGGUUUGCAGUCUUACAAGGUUUCUGUUGCCAACAUCAUUGUUUACGGAGCAAGCCUUUUAAAGACUUAAAAGCAGUUAUUCUCUAUAAAAAGUCAUUUUGUAUUUCAUGCACAAAACUCUAACGGGUAGAUUUAUGUUCAUAAUAGAAGAACGUUUAUUCUAGUUCUGUACUUAUUAGGAAUACAGUAAGCUUCCCCCCAGGUUCUCAUAAGGAAGUGAGACUGUUGUCCCCCCCGGAACAGGGCAGCAGUGAUGAUCCCUAGGGUUAGAAAACUGCUUACCAAAAGUCUUUCCAAAGAUGUUAAGUAAGAAGUUGGCUCAUUUUCCAGUACAAUUUAAAGAAAUGUUUGCAGUAUGUGCAGGUCUUAUAGGUUAUAUUGUAGCCCCUUGUGAUAAUAACCAAAAGGCCUAUUCUUCCCACUUAAAAAAUUCUACCUCAGAAGGGGAAAGGUGAAAUCUCCAUUAUCCCUGAGCAAAAAGGGAAAGAAGUCUGAUGUACUCUCAUUGGUUAUAGGAGUCACACUGUCCACGAGCCAUCUGUCUCUAAAACAUUCCUGCAGAAUUUACAUAAGCUGACUCAGGAAUGAGGCUGGCUCUCAGAGAUGUUCUCCAUAAGCUUUGUGAGCAUUUGUGUUUGGGUAGCUGAUCUGCAGAGAUAAGAAAUCUAACUAACUACCCUGCUCAGUACCACCACACUCGCAGUCUGUGAAAAUCCUACAGGCUAUCUGUGGGACAGGAGACCAUGAGUUUAAGCAAGUUAUGUUGUAAAGAAAGCCAAGAAAUGGGAAUGCACAGACAGAGUGGGAGGAAGGGGCAGGG